rnacentral:lncRNA from 1 species
GAUUAGUUAUAGAGAGAGACAAAAUUAGCCGGGUAGAGAGAGCGGAGCGACGGUGAUGGAGGAACGGACGGUGGUCUCCGUCCGGCCACGGACCGGUGGUUUUGACGCAACAAACAACGGUAGAAUUUGACACACUCGCUUUUUAGAAUCCAGAUGAGGGUUGUUUUUAGAGAAAGGGGCGUUCACCUGCUGUUACGGGUGAUGUUCCGGCCAUGACGGCGGCGGAUCUGUGUACCAAGUCACCACCGUCGUUCACCAUCUCCACCACCCUCAUCUUCAAAAUUCGUCCAAACUUCAGCAACCAACUUCGUGCACAAAAAAAAAUCCGAUUUAUCUCUCAUUCAAAUCAGUGAUGGCGAUAAAUAAGCAAUCAGUGGGUAUGUACAGAAGCUCCUUAGAAGCUAAGGCGAGGUCGUUGAUGUUACCUUAAUCUCGCACAAUCUUAACAGAGUUGGUAUAAGUUACCUUGAAGACGUCUUUGUUGCUUAUCAUGUUAUCGGAUCCUCGAGGAACGAGGUUCAGAUAUUAGAACUUCCCACCUAGGGCUGAAAGACGUGUUUGCUCUUCUUCAAUGGUAUGAGGGAAUUAGAGUUGCCACAUGCAUGUAACAUUGUGGAUAAAGGAACAUGGAAGCUGCCUGGUGACAUGUUUGAGGGGGCUUAAUCUAUAUGAUAUUACAGUCAUUCAAUGACAAAUCUAGAUAUGACGCGAGAAUCUGCACUACUCUAUCUUGAUGUUUGAUUGAGUGUUUUAAUGGCAAACCAUUCAAUAUCUCAAAUUACAUACUAUUUUCUCUGAUGAACCAUUGUGCACGUGUGUAAUCGGGGCUAUAUUCAACAAUAUUUUUUUGUUGUUUUGCUUUUUUCUAUUUUUUGAUCAGUUAUUCUCUACGCCU